rnacentral:rRNA from 1 species
AUGGGGGGAACCCUGAUCCAGCCAUGCCGCGUGUGUGAAGAAGGCCUUUUGGUUGUAAAGCACUUUAAGCGAGGAGGAGGCUACCGAGACUAAUACUCUUGGAUAGUGGACGUUACUCGCAGAAUAAGCACCGGCUAACUCUGUGCCAGCAGCCGCGGUAAUACAGAGGGUGCGAGCGUUAAUCGGAUUUACUGGGCGUAAAGCGUGCGUAGGCGGCUUUUUAAGUCGGAUGUGAAAUCCCUGAGCUUAACUUAGGAAUUGCAUUCGAUACUGGGAGGCUAGAGUAUGGGAGAGGAUGGUAGAAUUCCAGGUGUAGCGGUGAAAUGCGUAGAGAUCUGGAGGAAUAUCGAUGGCGAAGGCAGCCAUCUGGCCUAAUACUGACGCUGAGGUACGAAAGCAUGGGGAGCAAACAGGAUUAGAUACCCUGGUAGUCCAUGCCGUAAACGAUGUCUACUAGCCGUUGGGGCCUUUGAGGCUUUAGUGGCGCAGCUAACGCGAUAAGUAGACCGCCUGGGGAGUA